rnacentral:rRNA from 1 species
AGAGUUUGAUCAUGGCUCAGAUUGAACGCUGGCGGCAUGCCUUACACAUGCAAGUCGAACGGCAGCACGGGGGCGACCCUGGUGGCGAGUGGCGAACGGGUGAGUAAUACAUCGGAACGUGUCCUUUUGUGGGGGAUAACUAGUCGAAAGAUUAGCUAAUACCGCAUGAGCUCGGAAGAGGAAAGCGGGGGAUCGCAAGACCUCGCGCGAUUGGAGCGGCCGAUGUCCGAUUAGCUAGUUGGUGGGGUAAAGGCCUACCAAGGCGACGAUCGGUAGCUGGUCUGAGAGGAUGAUCAGCCACACUGGGACUGAGACACGGCCCAGACUCCUACGGGAGGCAGCAGUGGGGAAUUUUGGACAAUGGGGGCAACCCUGAUCCAGCCAUGCCGCGUGAGUGAAGAAGGCCUUCGGGUUGUAAAGCACUUUUGUCCGGAAAGAAAACUUCCUGGUUAAUACCCGGGGAGGAUGACGGUACCGGAAGAAUAAGCACCGGCUAACUACGUGCCAGCAGCCGCGGUAAUACGUAGGGUGCAAGCGUUAAUCGGAAUUACUGGGCGUAAAGCGUGCGCAGGCGGUUCGUUAAGACAGAUGUGAAAUCCCCGGGCUUAACCUGGGAACUGCAUUUGUGACUGGCGGACUGGAGUAUGGCAGAGGGGGGUAGAAUUCCACGUAGCAGUGAAAUGCGUAGAGAUGUGGAGGAAUACCGAUGGCGAAGGCAGCCCCCUGGGCCAAUACUGACGCUCAUGCACGAAAGCGUGGGGAGCAAACAGGAUUAGAUACCCUAGUAGUCC